GGGGACAUAGUUUUAACUGGUUAGAACGCCAGACUGUUAAUCUGGAUGUUGGAGGUUCGAACCCUCCUGUCCCCG
rnacentral:tRNA from 1 species